rnacentral:rRNA from 1 species
CCUAACACAUGCAAGUCGAGCGGUAACAGAGAGUAGCUUGCUACUCUGCUGACGAGCGGCGGACGGGUGAGUAAUGCUUGGGAAUAUGCCUUAUGGUGGGGGACAACAGUUGGAAACGACUGCUAAUACCGCAUGAUGUCUACGGACCAAAGUGGGGGACCUUCGGGCCUCACGCCAUAAGAUUAGCCCAAGUGGGAUUAGCUAGUUGGUGAGGUAAUGGCUCACCAAGGCGACGAUCCCUAGCUGGUUUGAGAGGAUGAUCAGCCACACUGGGACUGAGACACGGCCCAGACUCCUACGGGAGGCAGCAGUGGGGAAUAUUGCACAAUGGGCGCAAGCCUGAUGCAGCCAUGCCGCGUGUGUGAAGAAGGCCUUCGGGUUGUAAAGCACUUUCAGUAAGGAGGAAAGGUUAGUCACUAAUAUUGGCUAG